rnacentral:rRNA from 1 species
UACGUAGGGUGCGAGCGUUAAUCGGAAUUACUGGGCGUAAAGCGUGCGCAGGCGGUUUUGCAAGCCGGAUGUGAAAUCCCCGGGCUUAACCUGGGAAUGGCAUUUGGGACUGCAAGGCUGGAGUGCGGCAGAGGAGACUGGAAUUCCUGGUGUAGCAGUGAAAUGCGUAGAUAUCAGGAGGAACACCGAUGGGCGAAGGCAGGUCUCUGGGCUGACACUGACGCU